GACAUCAAGCAAGUCCCAGUUACAGAAAGAACCCACUGCAGGGCGUCCAGUCACUUGCCCAGUGAAAAGACUGUAAUCAGACAACUUUAAUAAAGGGAGAGCAGGAGAGUGGUGACGAAUUUCCACAUUCCGAACAAGCUUGUCGAAAGAGGAGUGCAGGGAAGGAGCAAGAAUGAGGCACUGGAAGACGGUGAGCGGGGCCUUGCCACAGAAUCCCGGGCCCACCUGCUUUCUCACAGUCGCGACAGCCGGCCCGGAGAAGGGCAGCCCAGCGAAGGGCACGCCCCGCGCGGGUGCCAGGGAGGCCGGCAGGGGCGUCCGCGGUCGCUGCUCACCUGCGCUCCCCGCUGCCCGGCCCAGCCCGCCUCGCCACCGAGUCUGGAAGCCCACACUCACCCCUUUACCCGGGAAACGCGGCCGGAGCCGGCGGCGGGUCGGGAGUCCGAGAUGGUAGAUCCCCCUCCAGGCGCCUCGCUGACAUUUUGUCCCGGACGGAAAACCUCCGCGCGUGCCCCUUAAAGACACAGCGCUGCAUUCACACGUCUGCGGGGAAAGGGGGGCCGUCACGUGUGGCCUUCGCCCGAAAGCGGUAGGGGAGUCGCUCUGAAACCGCCAAGGAUCGCGAGCGACAGAUUUGUGUUGGCCAGGGUUUUAAGAUGACGCAAUAGCUGAGUGUGGUUGAAAUGUAACUAUUGUUUUACAACUUUGCAUUAACCUUCCAAGACCUGAAUUCCCGGGCCUGAGUCUCAGAGCGCGGUUUGCAUCUUUGCAGGCUGUAGGCGCAUGAUGUCACAAGUUAUUGGAAGAAAUCCCUCCAACCUAGGUUGGGACAGAUGAAGGCGGCGCUUAUUGGUGUUCACCAAAACACCAGCAUGGUGUACCAGCUUUGGCUAGAUGAUGCUCAGGAAAACACAGAUCCUGGUGCCGAACAUGAGGACAGGGCAGGCCGAAGGAGAAAGUGGAAGGAGGGGAGCUUCUCUCUCAGCCUCAUCCUUCUGGGCCUGGAUGCUGGAGAGUCAUGAGGUGCUUCAGAGUACUCUGGGUGAGGAGGGAAAGAUGGUGCCCACCACAUGGAGGCCAGCCUAGGUCUUGUAUGAAACCUGUGAGGAGAUUCUCUCUCCCUUGCUGUCUUUGAAAAAGCAAGUUGCCAUGUGAAGAGGGCCAUAUAGCAUAGGAGCUGAAGGCAGCCUCCAACUGACGGCAAGAAAAUGAGGUCCUCAGUCUGACAACCUGCAAGAAACUGAAUGUUCUAAAAGCCACAUGAGCUUGGGAGCAGAUCUGACCCCAGCCAAAUCUCUGAAGUCCGCAGGCAGGAAAUGAAGAUCAGAAAAAGGCUAUUGUCUCAUGAAUAUGAGCCAGACUCCACAGAAGCUGGAGUCCUUCAUUAUGGAGCUAAACACAUACACCUGGCUUAGGAGUCAGAAAAACUGAAAGAGAAUUCAGGGAAGUAGAGAAAUUGCAAGCCCAGAUGCUGCUUCAUACCAAAGAAGCAAGUCAGCAGGUCAGCAACAAUGUGUAUCAGUUCCAAAAUGACUUACACAGGUACCAAGACAAGACAUUAUAUACACUUAUAUAGUCAAAUACUUUAAAACUGUUAACAAACUUGCUACAAUUGUCUCAUUUGUCUUUUAACCUUAAUAUCACAGAUCAAGUUUGUAAUCUCAAAAGUUCACCCUGGCUGCUGUGUGGAGUAUUCUCUUAUCUGCUCAUAUUACACUGUGCUUAUUCAUUCAUCAGUUAAUGGAAAUUUGGGUUGUUUCCUGAUUUUGACUGUAAUGAAUAAUGUUGCUGUAAACAUUCAUGUACAGUUUUGUGUGGACAUGCUUUUCUUUCUCUUGGGUAGGUUCCUAUGAGUGGAAUCACUAGAUUGUAUGGUAAAUGUAUGUUUAACUUUUAAAGAAACUGUCAAACUGUUUUCUAACAUGAACGGGCCAUUUUACGUUCUUAUCAACAAUAUAUGAUGGUUUCAAUUUUCCCACAUCCUCACCAACAUUUGGUAUUGUCUCUCUUUUACAUCAUAACUAUUUUAGUGGGGAUGUAGUGAUAUCUUAUCGUGGUUUUAAUUUGUGUCUCCCUAAUGACUAAUGAUAUUGUGCAUCUUUGCAUAUGCUUGUUAGCCAUUUAUGUACAUUCUUUAGUGAAAUGGCUAUUCAAAUCUUCUGCCCAUUUAAAAAUCGAGUUGUUUUUCUUAUUAUUCAGUUGUAAGAGUUUUUUCUUUAUUCUGUGCAAAAGUCCUUUAUCAAGUCUAGGAUUUUUGAAUAUUUUCUCAACCUAGAGCUUGUUUUUCAACAUUUUUUUCUUAAUGAUCUUUUGAAGUGCAAAAGUUUGAUUUUGAUGAAGUCUAAUGUAUCACUUCUUCCUUUAACUGUCAUGAUUUUUGUGUCGUAUCUAAGAACUCUUUACCCAACUCAAAGUUACCAAGGUAUUUUCUUCCAGAAGUUUUGCAGUUUUAACUCUUCUAUAUAGGCCUGUGAUCCAUUUUUAAUUCAUUUUUUGCAUAUGAUGUGAGAGAAGGGCCUAAGUUCAUAUUCGUACAUGUGGAUGUACAAUGGUUCCAGGAUCACUUGCUGAGAAAAGACUAUCCUUUCCCCAUUGAUUUUUUUGGCACCUGUGUCAAAAAUCAAUUGACCAUAAAUGCAAGCGUUUAUAUCUGAACUCUCAGUUCUUCUCCAUUCAUCUCUAAGGAUAUGUCUAUGCUUACAUCAAUAUCACAGUGUAUUCAUGUGGCUUUGUAGUAAAUUUUGAAAUUGGGUGAUA
rnacentral:lncRNA from 1 species